CAUUCCCCAACAGUUAGACUGCUUUCCUCCGACUGUAAUGAGCGUAUGCUUUGUGAAAUAUGAUCAAUCUCCGCCCUUGAUAAAGAAAUAAUUUGCUUCAUCUUAGCAUCCCUAUGCAUCAACAUUAGGACACUAACAAUAUCAUUUAUCCUAUUUGAGUGUCCGGUAGUACUUUUAGUUAUCAAUGAACCCAUCCCAUUCAACACGAAAUGCAAGAGCUUUCUACUUCUAUCAAACAAGAAAAAGCAAGGCACAAUAUAGUACAUCUGCGCUCGUACAUGAGCUUCCAUGGGCUCUGCAUCAUCUCCUCGCACACAAUGAACAACGUCAAUCAAAUAGCCUGAAA
rnacentral:misc_RNA from 1 species